UACAGAGGGUGCGAGCGUUAAUCGGAAUUACUGGGCGUAAAGCGCGCGUAGGCGGCUUUGCAAGUCGGGUGUGAAAUCCCCAGGCUCAACCUGGGAACUGCAUUCGAGACUGCAUUGCUAGAGUAUGGGAGAGGGAAGUGGAAUUUCCGGUGUAGCGGUGAAAUGCGUAGAUAUCGGAAGGAACAUCAGUGGCGAAAGCGACUUCCUGGACCAAUACUGACGCUCAUGUGCGAAAGCGUGGGGAGCAAAC
rnacentral:rRNA from 1 species